UAGGGAAUCUUCCGCAAUGGACGAAAGUCUGACGGAGCAACGCCGCGUGAGUGAUGAAGGUCUUCGGAUCGUAAAACUCUGUUAUCAGGGAAGAACAAGCAUAGGAGUAACUGCCUGUGCCUUGACGGUACCUGACCAGAAAGCCACGGCUAACUACGUGCCAGCAGCCGCGGUAAUAUGUAGGUGGCAAGCGUUGUCCGGAAUUAUUGGGCGUAAAGCGCGCGCAGGCGGUCCUUUAAGUCUGAUGUGAAAUCCCGUGGCUUAACCACGGGCGGUCAUUGGAAACUGGGGGACUUGAGUGCAGAAGAGAAGAGCGGAAUUCCACGUGUAGUGGUGAAAUGCGUAGAGAUGUGGAGGAACACCAGUGGCGAAGGCGGCUCUUUGGUCUGUAACUGACGCUGAGGCGCGAAAGCGUGGGGAGCGAACAG
rnacentral:rRNA from 1 species